GCUUGUCUCAAAGAUUAAGCCAUGCAUGUCUAAGUAUAAGCAAUUAUACAGCGAAACUUGCGAAUGGCUCAUUAUAUAAGUUAUCGUUUAUUUGAUAGUACCUUACUACUUGGAUAACCGUGGUAAUUCUAGAGCUAAUACAUGCUAAAAAUCCCGACUUCGGAAGGGAUGUAUUUAUUAGAUUAAAAACCAAUGCCCUCUGGGCUCCUUGGUGAUUCAUAAUAACUUUUCGAAUCGCAUGGCCUUGCGCCGGCGAUGGUUCAUUCAAAUUUCUUCCCUAUCAACUUUCGAUGUUUGGGUAUUGGCCAAACAUGGUCGCAACGGGUAACGGAGGGUUAGGGCUCGACCCCGGAGAAGGAGCCUGAGAAACGGCUACUACAUCCAAGGAAGGCAGCAGGCGCGCAAAUUACCCAAUCCCGAUUCGGGGAGGUAGUGACAAAUAAAUACUGAUACAGGGCUCUUUUGGGUCUUGUAAUUGGAAUGAGUACAAAUUUAAAUCUCUUAACGAGGAACAAUUGGAGGGCAA
rnacentral:rRNA from 1 species